AAAUAAAUCAAAAAAAAUGAAAAAAGAGAAUAGACUCUCUAAUAUAGUAGACUGAAAUCAUUUAUAAGAGACGCUACGUGUCCAUGAUUGGUUGGCUAACAGAAUAAAACAAAAAGGAAUUUUUUUUUCACGCAGAAAAUCUCUUUCUCUCUUUCUCUUCCGAUCAAAGUGUCCAUCCGAUGUCAGAAAGGUCUGAUUUAAUCGGAAGUUAAUGAAUCAAUGGACUGUUGGGUCGUAGGCGAUUUGAAAUCCUAUCUCCCUCGAUUCCUAUCUCUCUCGAUUCUCCGAUUACCAAACCGUCGUCUUCUCCGUCCAAGAUCUGUAACGCGAUUACGUAUUUGAGCCGUUUUUUCUGAAUGCUCCGGUUAUUCAAUUUUCUGAUCGAUGACAUUGUCCAAGCGUUUGGCUCUAUUGGGAGCUCAAUCCGCGAUUUCUCGUUGAUACAUUGGCUAUGGGUUUUAGCGUAUCUUCUUCUGGGUGUUGUAAGGAUAUAUUCCAAGAAGGUGGACUUUUUGUUCAAUGAUUGCAACAAAGCUUUGAUCGGUGUAAAAGAGUUUGUGGCUAAGGAGAAGAACAGAGAAAAGACAGUUGUGCCAUUGCCUGCAUCUACUGCGUGUUUUUCCAUUGUUUUGCCUGCAUCUACCGCGUGUUUUUGACAUUACUUCUUGAUUCCAUUCCUUUUAUUCCAGUAAUUUCGUGAAUAUACAUGUUAUAACAAUAAUGCUUUGUGGAGUUGUAGUUUGACAUGGAUGAUGACCUCAUGUUUACGUUUCAUGAAACUUUCUCUGCCAAUCAGAAUGAAACCAAGCAUGAGAGUUUCGCUCAUGAUAUGGACAUGGACGCAGGAAAUGUCAGAAAUACUACUGAAGAAGCAUCAGUCAGAGUCACAGAAGCGGAACCACUGGAUGAUUCUAGAGAUCAUGAGAAUGCAUCUAUGGAAAGAGGGGAUCCAGAAUCAUAUGAUAUUAAUGUGGAACCGCAAAUGUCUGAAGAUAUAAGCAAAGCUCAAGAAGAACAUACAGUUAGAGAAACCAUAUGUACCAUUGUGCGGGGACUAGUGGAUCCUCAUGGAAUCUCAGACGAUAAUUUUUCAUCUGUUUUCAUUCUCUCUAUUUGUGAUUGUUUGUUGUAAUUUUAAAAGCUUGUUUGUUGCUGUAAUUUUGGAUCAAAGCUAUUCUAGGUGGUUGUUUCAUUUCGUCUCUUUGUUGUGAUUGUGAAUGCUAGUUGUUCCUUGUAUAAGCUUCAACAUAUGACAAUAUAUGGAAAUUGAAUAAGUUAUACACUGA